rnacentral:rRNA from 1 species
CGGGACGGGGUGGAGUAAUGUCUGGGAAACGUGCCUGAUGGAGGGGGAUAACUACUGGAAACGGUAGCUAAUACCGCAUAACGUCGCAAGACCAAAGAGGGGGACCUUCGGGCCUCCUUGCCAUCGGAUGUGCCCAGAUGGGAUUAGCUAGUAGGUGGGGUAACGGCUCACCUAGGCGACGAUCCCUAGCUGGUCUGAGAGGAUGACCAGCCACACUGGAACUGAGACACGGUCCAG